rnacentral:misc_RNA from 1 species
AGAGCUCCUACAGAAUCAUUACAGGCUGGGAAUCUUUGUAUGCGAAAGCAGAGCAACUUGAUCAAGACUAUAAAGGGAAUCAAUCAAGUGCAUCCGCAAUGAAGCUGGUCCUUUGGCCAUGUUCAUUCCCAAUUCACCAGCAAUACCAAAUAUGGAAAAUGCUGAAGCUGUUGCUUCCAAAGCAUGUAAUGGAUCAACAGCAACAAAAGCUGCAAUGAGGGCUGUGAC